rnacentral:rRNA from 1 species
AGUGUAGGCGGUUGCCUAAGUCGGAUGUGAAAGCCCCGGGCUUAACCUGGGAAUUGCAUUCGAUACUGGGUGGCUAGAGUUUGGUAGAGGUAAGUGGAAUUCCGGGUGUAGCGGUGAAAUGCGUAGAUAUCCGGAGGAACAUCAGUGGCGAAGGCGGCUUACUGGACCAAAACUGACGCUGAGGCUCGAAAGCGUGGGUAGCAAACA